UGCAGCAGUUGAUACUUCUUAUACACAUAUUGGGCCGUAAGAGCUCGUAGGCGGUUUGUCGCGUCUGCUGUGAAAGACCGGGGCUCAACUCCGGUUCUGCAGUGGGUACGGGCAGACUAGAGUGCAGUAGGGGAGACUGGAAUUCCUGGUGUAGCGGUGAAAUGCGCAGAUAUCAGGAGGAACACCGAUGGCGAAGGCAGGUCUCUGGGCUGUAACUGACGCUGAGGAGCGAAAGCAUGGGGAGCGAACAGGAUUAGAUACCCUGGUAGUCCAUGCCGUAAACGUUGGGCACUAGGUGUGGGGGACAUUCCACGUUUUCCGCGCCGUAGCUAACGCAUUAAGUGCCCCGCCUGGGGAGUACGGCCGCAAGGCUAAAACUCAAAGGAAUUGACGGGGGCCCGCACAAGCGGCGGAGCAUGCGGAUUAAUUCGAUGCAACGCGAAGAACCUUACCAAGGCUUGACAUGAACCGGUAAUACCUGGAAACAGGUGCCCCGCUUGCGGUCGGUUUACAGGUGGUGCAUGGUUGUCGUCAGCUCGUGUCGUGAGAUGUUGGGUUAAGUCCCGCAACGAGCGCAACCCUCGUUCUAUGUUGCCAGCGGUUCGGCCGGGGACUCAUAGGAGACUGCCGGGGUCAACUCGGAGGAAGGUGGGGACGACGUCAAAUCAUCAUGCCCCUUAUGUCUUGGGCUUCACGCAUGCUACAAUGGCCGGUACAAAGGGUUGCGAUACUGUGAGGUGGAGCUAAUCCCAAAAAGCCGGUCUCAGUUCGGAUUGGGGUCUGCAACUCGACCCCAUGAAGUCGGAGUCGCUAGUAAUCGCAGAUCAGCAACGCUGCGGUGAAUACGUUCCCGGGUCUUGUACACACCGCCCGUCAAGUCACGAAAGUUGGUAACACCCGAAGCCGGUGGCCUAACUCUUUGUGGGGGGAGCCGUCGAAGUGGGUACCGGCGAUUGGGACUAAGUCGUACCAAGGUACCACC
rnacentral:rRNA from 1 species